AGAGUUUGAUCCUGGCUCAGGAUGAACGCUGGCGGCGUGCUUAACACAUGCAAGUCGAACGGGAAUUACUUUAUUGAAACUUCGGUGGAUUUAAUUUAUUUCUAGUGGCGGACGGGUGAGUAACGCGUGGGUAACCUGCCUUAUACAGGGGGAUAACAGUCAGAAAUGGCUGCUAAUACCGCAUAAGCGCACAGAGCUGCAUGGCUCAGUGUGAAAAACUCCGGUGGUAUAAGAUGGACCCGCGUUGGAUUAGCUUGUUGGUGGGGUAACGGCCCACCAAGGCGACGAUCCAUAGCCGGCCUGAGAGGGUGAACGGCCACAUUGGGACUGAGACACGGCCCAGACUCCUACGGGAGGCAGCAGUGGGGAAUAUUGCACAAUGGGGGAAACCCUGAUGCAGCGACGCCGCGUGAAGGAAGAAGUAUCUCGGUAUGUAAACUUCUAUCAGCAGGGAAGAUAGUGACGGUACCUGACUAAGAAGCCCCGGCUAACUACGUGCCAGCAGCCGCGGU
rnacentral:rRNA from 1 species